GAUGCAAUGAUGAGUUGAAGCACACGGGAGUGUGUAUAGGGCAGUGGGGAAGACCUAAAAAUCUUUGCCGUGAGCCUUUAACAAAAACGACUUCUCCUUCCACUGAGCUCA